UACGAAGGGUGCAAACGUUGCUCGGAAUUAUUGGGCGUAAAGGGCUCGUAGGCGGUCUGUCGCGUCGGGAGUGAAAACUCAGGGCUUAACCCUGAGCCUGCUUCCGAUACGGGCAGACUAGAGGUAUGCAGGGGAGAACGGAAUUCCUGGUGUAGCGGUGAAAUGCGCAGAUAUCAGGAGGAACACCGGUGGCGAAGGCGGUUCUCUGGGCAGUACCUGACGCUGAGGAGCGAAAGUGUGGGGAGCGAACAGG
rnacentral:rRNA from 1 species